GACGCCGAACGCGCGGCGCGGCACCGCCCUGACGCCUCAGGGCCACGUCGCAUCGCUGCCUCCGCCCCUGCUUUGUCGCCACUUCCUCUCCCCUGGUCCUGGUCAGCGAUGUACUCGCCGACCGGCCGUGCUGGCGGAUCUGCUCGGUGCACCAUCUCUCCAUCUCCACGCGGCUCUGCUCCACGGCACGGCCAGCCUUCCCAGCGUCUGGCUCAACUAGCGGCGCGUCUUGCCUCUUCCUCUCCCCACCGUGGUAGAGUGCUGCCUGUAACUCCACACAGGUGCUCAGCCUACUAAAUGCAAGGGCAUUUUCAUAUUAUUUUGGUAUAGUGUUAUCUAGAAGAAAAACUUCUUGCUCAAUGCUUCAGUAGCGUCUAAUGUAUCCUAAUGCUCCUAUGGAUGGACUUAUGUGUUAUACCUUGCUAUUGCCACUCAAUGCAUUUAGAUACAGUAUGUUGAUAAACUGACUUAUCCUGCUCUCUAGCUAUCUCAUAUGAUCUUGGACAUUCCUACACAUCUUUCAAUUAGUAAGUCGUGUGGUAUUUAUGAGACUACAAUAUGUUUCUGUUUUUUGGGUUCCCUCGCAGUACAGCUUACCUUCUACACAUUUGUACUCCUACAAAUCUGAGGAUGAUUUAAUUAUAUCAGCAGGCCUGGAGCAGCAGUAUAUAAAUUUAUAAUGCCUCUGACCCCCCCUCCCACACACACACACUCUUAAAACUGUUUCCACAUUGAACACUGUCCCAAUGCUUGAGGUAUUUUCUGCAAGCUCUUUAUUUUGCUUGUGCAGUCUAAAAUACUAUAGGUAGUGUGACCAUUCCUACAUUUCAAUAAGGUGUCAGUAUAAUUUCAUUGUUCUUUAAAUACAGAAUGUUCAACCUCUUACUAUAAGGCUUCUAAUUCCAAAUAACUUUUGUUGCUGUCCUUUAAAUAAAUUAACUUUUGUUCUUGAAACAUACAACCCAUUGAUUAUUUUCUUUUCCAUAUACAGAGAUUACGUGCAGGAGUACAACCACACGUAUGGGUUGUAUUCUGGCUUCAACAGUCACAUAGACAAAACUAAGCAUGUGGUUUCUACAUCUUUCUGCACUUCAUUUUUCUUUCCGUUACUCCAUAACAUAACAAUGUCAUGGAACUACUUUCUCCAAACUGGCUCUGGACAUUACACGGUCCUUCUACUGGCAUAUGUAUAUAUGUAGCCUUAUAUCUUUUUAAUGUAUCUAUUCCGAAAAGAUGCAGCCACUAUAGAAUCCAGUUAUUUUUUA